rnacentral:rRNA from 1 species
GACGAACGCUGGCGGCGUGCCUAAUACAUGCAAGUCGAACGCAGUGGGGACGGGUGAGUAACACGUGGGUAACCUCCCAUCAGAGGGGAUAACACUUGGAAACAGGUGCUAAACCGAUACGGAUGGAUGGACCCGCGGUGCAUUAGCUAGUUGGUGAGGUAACGGCUCACCAAGGCCACGAUGCAUAGCCGACCAGAGGGGGUGAUCGGCCGCCCUGGGACUGAGGCACGGCCCAGACACCUACGGGAGGCAGCAGUAGGGAAUCAUCGGCAAUGGACGAAAGUCUAGCGGGGCAACGGCGCGUGGAGGAUGACACUUUUCGGAGCGUAAACUCCUUUUGUUAGGGAAGCGGUACCUAACGAAUAAGCACCGGCUAACUCCGUGCCAGCAGCCGCGGUAAUAC